UAACUGAAAAGUUUUUGAUAAUUUUUUAAAAGUUCAUUUUUUGUUAAUACUUUGCUUAUUUGCUUUUCUGAUUGUUUGAUGUUUUAUUUUUUGAUUUUACUUGGUUUAAUUUCUUCAGAAAAAAGUAUUUCUAAAAUACCCAUGACCACUAAAUUGAAAUUAUGUAUUUAUUAUUUAUUUAAUAUUUAAAAAAUUAAUGUGAUACUGUAUAUUUAUUUUGUAAUGUCUUUGUGUAACUGUGAUGACUUCCGUACGUUUAGUCUUAAUCAUUUGUUCAUAGUUAAAUAAAAAAAGAAAAAAAUCAUGAUUUAAGUGAUAAAUACAACGAAGUGUGUGAUUAUAGUAUUUUAAUAAAAUACCAGCAGUUCUUCCUUUCUAGAUGUAAAUUAUGUUUUACAUUAUGGAGCUCAUUUGUGCUGAUAUUUUCCCUAAGCAAAAAAAUUUGGUUUGCUAAAGGAACUUUUAGGCUGGUAAAAUGUAAUCGGGGUUAUCUGUGUCUUGCUUCUGACCGUAAUAUCAUGAAAGGUGGAUGAUGACUGCAAAAUAUUUUCUGAAAUUCCACUUUGAUUUUUUUUUUUUGUGGUUUUAGAAAGGCACAAGAAUGACAUUGCUCCUCUUCAUACAGUUUUUCGGGGAAAAACACACACACACACAUAAAAAAGCAAGAAACCUUUUAGUAAUGGUAGAUGCCCACUAAAUUAAUGAAAUUCUGCACCCGUUUGGCCUUAUUUUUUGUUUUUUUUUAAUCCACAAAGUGCCACUGCUCUCCAAUUAUCAAAUGACUCUUAACUAACCUAUUCCCCUUCUACUGGCUAGUGGAAGAAUAAAUGUUGAUUGUUAGGAAUAUCUUUUCUUGCCUAAAUGGCCAUUAAUAAAAUAUAAACUUGUGUAAUAAAUAUACAUACAAAUAUAUAUAUAUAUAUAUAUAUUUUAUUUUGAUGUUAAUUGCUUUGUCCUCAGCUGCUGUGUAGUUGCUCAGCGAAAGUAAACGUUACCAUAAAAUUAUGACCAUUUCCCUACUAGUAAGACCUUGUGAACUGUGGAUUUAUGCAUUCCAAUAAUGGUAGAAAAUAACAUAACAAAUUUAAUUGAUUAUUUGUUUUGGUCUGUAAAAAUUCAAUAAAAUGUUCUGUAUGUUGUAAUUAGGGAUUUUUGAACAGUAUCAUAUAGUCCAAAAGUAGAUUUGUGUUUUGCUGACUAUAAGAGUGCCUGCUUUUAUAUGGCAUAUCUGUAAAAUUUAGCUUUGGAUAGACCUGUCCAGUUCUGUGCAUUUCAGACCCAUUUGAUGUUAUUUAAAUGUGCUGAAAUGUCCAAGUUAUAUUAUCUAAAGAAAGAAAGAAAGAAAGAAAGAAAGAAAGAUGUUAUUGUUAGGACCGAAACAUUUUAAAGCAAUGGAAGAAAUGUCUAAUAUUUUCAUUGGCUUUCAAAGCAGAAUAUUAUGUUUAAUAUAAGACAAUAAAGCUUUGCCGGAAUUCCUACCAGCUAUACUAAUUCUGAAUAUAUUUAGCAUUUGAGGGAGGUUCACAAUAUGAUUAACUGGUAAUGUUUGCAUAAAUUCAGAUUUCUACACCUUGUGUUUUCCUUGAAUAUUUCCACACUGACUAGUCAUUAAGAAUUAUCCAAUACUGCUGUCCAAGUAAUUUGGUGCAUUGAGCUUGUAACCAGGCCAAGACGGCCUUCAGUAAUAUGUGGCGAUAGUGAAGGCCCAUAAUGCAUUUGAAACUCAUGAAUUUUCAUUUGUACAUAACAGGCUGCCUACUACAUUUUGACUAUGGAUGCAAUUUCUAGAAAGACAAAAUCCCCCAGUGAUCAUACAAGGAAAAUAACACUGAACACGUAAAAAGCUGGAUUAAAAAGGUCAAGCUGAAGAAAUGGUGUAGAUAGCUAAGAUUUAUAUUUUGAUGUAGGAUUUAAAAAGGAAUCUUUAGAAUGUUGAGUGUAUCAUUUGUUAUCCUAAACAGAACCAUGGAGUGUUCUCCACUGAAAGCUCCAGUUAGGUAAACCCAUUUACAUUUUGAUAGAACAUACAUUAAUUUUUUAUGCUGUCCAAUAAUAAUAUGUAUUUCUUUGAUGCUCAUUUUCUUCAUUACAGCAGAGCAACAUGUACAUUGUGGUUGAAUGUAGGUUUAUUCAUGUUGACAGAUUCUAUCAAAUUGUUUGCUUGCUAAGAGAUAGCACUGAUCAUAGGGAUAGUCUGGGAAAUGGUCUUUGAAGCUAACAAUAAAAAUAUCACUGCCCUAAAAGAAGCGCCUGAUUCUACAAACUAGAGCUGUCGUUAGCCUGUAGAAAGGACACUUUCGCACAAAUAUACAGCUUUUCUGUAUCACUAUCUUGGAGACAAGUCCACAGAUGCUUUUACUUUCUAAUUCAGCUCAUGAAACCACUGUGAUUUUCAAGUGUAGGUAAAGUCGGUAUAAAGUUGUAUUUUAGAAUGGAUUACCAUAUCAAUGUUAAUGGGAAUUAGGCCAUACACUUUGUUUUUUUUUAUAUGACUUUAAGUUUGAUUUUGCAAUAAGAAUGCCAGUAGGCUGGAGUGAUUGCUGGCCAAUUAAGUUACUCAUAAUAAAGUAAACGCACGUAGCUGUUAUUUGGAACAUGUUUGUGUUUUCAGAAGAAUUAUUGGUAAAUAAUUAAUAACUUCUCACUCACUCUUUUCAUUUUUUAUUCUAAGACUAAUGCCUUAGUUCAGGGGUGGGCAACACUAAAGAGAUGAUAGCAAAUAAAACUCUUUUGCAGCACAAAGGCAGUAAAAAUGACAUCACAAAUCACAACUGCUUUGAUCAGAUUAUAAAUAUUACUGCUCUUGUGGAUCCACAUUUCAAUUGGAUUCACUUUAAUGUGCAGUCUUGUUUUGUACAGAAUUUUGGUUUGGACCAGCCAACCAAAGUCUAGACUUCAUGUACAUAUAAUUUACUUGUUACUUGUUCAUGGAAUUGAUAUUGCUUCAAAGUUGAGUUUUAUGAGUUUAAUGCUGUGAGUGCCUCACAUUCAGUAUUACAUACUGGUCCACACCCAGCACAUUUGGGACGUUUAACUGUCUCCUGAAAAGGCUGUCCACAUGAACUAAGACUCAAAAGAGAACUCUGGAAAUGGAUUGUUCUUUUACUUUAUCUGUAAAUACAAGCAAAUAAAACGCAAAAAUACCUAUACAGACAGCUACCAGCUCCGCAAAUUAAGCAUUACAAUUUUGAAAGGAGCUAAUGACGCAUGUUGCCCACCCCCUGCCUUAUUUCCCUUAGAAAGCGUGAUAGCGUAGUUACUGAUUUUUCAAAAGAAACCAAGAAAGGCAUGUAUUUUUGGUAGGCUGGUAAUUUCUAAGCUGAUAAAACCAAAAUUCACAAGUAGGUACUGUAGCUUAAAUCUGUUUAGUUUUAUCACUUGUGCCUUUCUUACAUCAACAUAAAAAGGCAAGAAGGAUACCGUAUGUGUUGUUUACAUUUGGGAACUGGGUUCAAAUAUAACUCAGGAUGAUGCAAUGGAAAAGUCAAACCCUGUUCAGUUAGGGUGUCAAAAUAAAAAAAAUGAA